AAACGUCUAGCUUGACGGGUGUGUCUUUUUCGCUGUCGUAGCUCGUACGUGUUUUGUCGACUGCCGGACCAAGCGCUGGACUAACGGCGGCUUAUCACCAGAGGAGCAGCAUGGAUUCUAUGACAUGGUGUGCCGUUGGAUUUGUCUGUAUCGGUCUUCUCUUGAGCGUGGUACAAGCUGAUGACGACCGCAUGAGGGCCCAGCAUCAUGGUUCUUUUUGGACCAUUCCUAUCAUUGUGACAGUCUUCAUGGUGUUAACGUUCCUGUUGACCUGCGGCAUCUUCGGAUACUUCUGGUAUCGCCGGAGGCAGCGCAUGCUUGGAAUGCUGCAGCCAAGCCCCUGCAUGCCUGCUGCUCCAAUAACAUCAGGGGCAAUGAACCACGGCCAGCCAGAAACGCAUGCUCUCCUACCAGGUGCAAUUACACAUUCAGCCUUGCCAAAUCAACAACAGAAGUGGGACCAACAACUGUCUGAGCACCAUCCAGAGGUUGGGCCUGACAUUAGCCACAAGGGCAUACCUCCCUCACAGCCAUCUGCAGCGCCAAUUCCAUCAGCGCCCCUCGAAUCGCCGCCUCCAUAUGGAAGCUGAACACUCUGGCCUCAGCAAGACAUUCACAGAAGCAAACAAAUUGCCGAGUCAGUGGACGGUGCUGUAACAUUGAGCAGUGCAUUAUUGCUUGCAUUGCUAUUUUUGCCGCUUCUGCAGUUGUGUUGUGCCUGAAAGCAGUACUAGGGCAGGGAAAAUGCCGGCAUCGAGCAAAGCUACACUGCAAUCCAGUGCUCACACACGCACACGAGCACAAAUGCUUGUAUGCACAAACGCACACACAUCUGAGCGUACAGGCAAGAUGUGUGUUAUAGGAAUUUUGAAUCUGCCUAGUGUAAGGCAAAAAUGGUUUUCUGCUUUUAAGCUCCGACAUCCAACCUGAAUGAUUACGUGAAAGGAACAGGUUCAGGUCAAGAAAUCAAAAGGCGUUAUCAAAAUCCAUUAAUUGUCAAUUAACACAAUUCAUAUGUCAGCUCCGGCAGCUGCGAUGAGUUAUAAAAGUGGCUACAAUAUUAAAACAGUAUUAAAACGUUACCUACAAACCUGUACACCUUAAUAAAUACUGAUUUAAGCCUACAAGAUGGAAUCCUGUAGGCUUAAUAAAUCUCUAAAUCUUAGUAAAUCUUAAUAAAUAGAAUUUCUUACACAGAAUGCUCGUUUUUUUAUUGUUAAUUGUGAAUAUCUUUGUUAUAAAGAGUAGGUUUUUGAGGCGGAAAAAGCUAACUGAGGAAUUGUAGAACAAAUAAAAGUACCCUAUGGACUCGUGUAAGGGCCGCACCCGUGUAUGGGCUGCACCCCUACUUUGACAGCCGAAAAUUUGGAAAAAAAGAAUUUCUAACGGAGAAGCAGUCACGUCCGGUGUCCGCGAAAAUUUGAUGCCGCACUUUCGUGCGCUGCGUAUUUCCAUGUGCCUCUAUUAGAUGGCUAGAGCCAUCCAGUGGCGUCUCUUACACGGGACCGAGCCAAAAAGUUCUGUCCCAUGCAAGGGCUGCACCUCGUCAUAAGUGUGAAAGAAAAGUGCGUCCCUUACACGAGUCUAUAUGGUAGGUUACUGAAGUUUAUUGUACGCCAUAGUAUAGAUGCACCAGCCACCUGCUUAUAGUCUAUAAAAAUUAUGGAACAAAUAUAUACAGAAAUGUUUUGUCUUCAUCAUACUAUCUGUGCAUGCUAACGUUGUGUUAUUUCUUGACUAAGGGAGUUUUGGCAGCGUGUGCUACAUACAGCUCAAAACCAGGAAUUACACAGUGUCGCUUUCCAAUUUGUUUCAUCGACUAUCAUCAAAACCAGCUCACCCUCUAUUAAAAACCCAAUAUAUUCAAACAAUACACCCAAUAUAUUCAAACAGUUGACCUGGGGAGCUUACAGUAAAUUUCUUGCAGCGUACAGAAAAAAAGGAAACGGUGGAGUCUUCGUCGGAAAGCUCUUCAUGUGGAUUUAAUCCACAGAGGCGCCCUCGCUAUGUCGUCCUGUGAGGUUUCCUCUUUGUCUUAUUCGUCUGAGAAGCAUCCAACUUCAGUCAUCAUCACGUUUGUCUUUGCUUCCUGAAAUGAUGUACACCUUAAUGUCUGAACCAUCAUCAUCGGAAGAUGAACAAGUGCCUCUUUUUCAGAAAGACAGGCCGGCGAUACACGUAUAGCCUCUGUCAGACACCAUUUUGGAAAUGCUGGUUUUCACAUGAAAAACAUGCUCCAGAUGUAGAAGGAAACCACCGGGUACAUACUACCAUCUGCCGACUGAAACACCAAUCAGACCGCGAACGAGUGUCUCUGAGUCAAAAUGCUCAAGGGGAGAGCAAAUACCGCAAGGACGAGCCGCACUCGUCCUAAAUGCUUCGGGGGAUGUGAGGGCUUGGACGAGCAGGGCUUGUCCAAAAUGGUUAUAGGGUUGAUGCCUCCUCUGUCGUUUGCUUCUGCUUCACUUGUGCUCACUUGUGAGUGCUCCUGUUUGGAAAACUUUCGUGAAAGCACUUUUGAGUUCCGGCUUCUAUUUCUUGCUUGACAAAAGUUCUCACUUGCGAUUGCUUUUAUUCUGUAAGCUUUUAAUGCAAAAGCAUUAUAUGCUCCUUGAAGCGGAAAAUCUGGCAAACAUCCGUUGUUAACAUCCAAUGAUACCAAAACCCACAUGACCCCCAAGUGAUGACGUCACAUUCCCGGUGCUGGACCUGCUGCGGCUCGCACUGCGAAAUUCUACGGUGAACAGCCUUGGCAUUAGACAUACGCCUUUACCCAUACCAAAAAGUUGACCCACGUUCAAAACCAGCCUGGCCCACUCCCAAAAUUGACUUGGCCCACUCACAAAAUUUGGGUGACGCAUACCCAAAAAAUUUAGUUUACCCAAUUCGAAACUUGAGUUGACUUACAUUGAAACCGACCUGGGCCCACUCCCAAAAUUGACUUGGCCAACCCUCAAAAUAUGCUUUGCCCAAUUCGAGCACAUGACCAAGUGAAAAGUAUCGCGUGGAAUAGUCAGAGUGCUUUCACAUUCAAAGCACAUAACAAGACAAGUGCCUCUUAACUUUUUGUGGAAACAGCUGGAAAUGUUUUUAUUACAAAAGACACUGCCUGUUGCACCUGCUGUAAGGCAGCAUACAUUGCUAAAUUUUCUGUAGGUGCUUUUUUUCUUGGGGGAGCAGCCCGCUUAAAUUUUCAUGCGUUCAUUCUAGUCAUUCGGGAUGAAAAACUCUGCUUUUAUUUAAAAAUUUAAGCCUUCUGGAGGCAAGCGCUUGUGGAGAGAAAGAAUAUGCAUGCCACUGAUCCUUGUUCUAAAGCACAUCAUCUUAAUCUGAUAUCUAUUUAUGUCUAAGAGUGGAAACAGCAACAAUAAUUUCAUAAAACUCUUUAGUUGAUCUGUCAUGUUGUCUACACAGGGCGUGUUAAUAUAACAUUGCACCAUACGAGAUAAGCGGUGUUGCUUUUAUUGCCAGGCGUUAUUGGGACUCCGAGCUUUAUUGCAAUUUGUUAAUAAUCUUGGUGCUACCUAAUGUGUUCUGUACCCUUUUAUCUUAGUUAAAUUAAGCUAGCUACUGCAUAUGCACAGGCUAAUGAAAUAGCCAGAAAGUUGAGCUAGCUAGCGCACCUGCUUACCUUAUAAUAGAACAGCCUUUAAGGGUAUUUAAAUGAGCAACAUCACUUUAAUGCAUUCACUAUAUCGAGCCGUGCAAUGGUUAACUUGCAUAGCAGACAACCGCACAAGCAGGAAUGAGCGCCAAAACAUUGCAGUGUCCUACUCCCAUGUGAAGCCCUUCUCAGUCAAGAUGUCACAACACCUACAACUCCUGGGAAGCGAAACCAAAACUGGUUCGUAGAACAGCUAUCAUAGGAAAUUAUUUAGGGCUCUCCGAGUCUUAGCAGUACUAUUUUUUGGGGGGUUUUGAGGUACAGGAUCUUCACAUGGCGCAUAAAAUGAGAAGUCCGAAAGGCACUGUCAAUAGUACUCCUAAAGUCCUGGUUAAUUCAGAGAACACUCAAAAUUUGCUUGGCUCACCAUGUUUGAAUAUGCUUACCAUAAACAAGGCUCUACAGUAAUUCAAACUUUCUGGCUUUUCAGGGCAAUGCAGCACAACCAUAAACUGCUGAUAAUUGAGCAAUCGUAUGGCAUGAAUAGUCAAAACAUGCCCGUUUUUGUUCAGGCUGCUAUGUAUGUUGAUGGGAAUCACUAUAAGAUGACGCUACUGACUCAUACCUAUUCUCUUCGUACAUGUGUUCAAAUGUGAUGGGAUAUAUGUAUCUAUCUAUGUAUUCAUGUAGUUACUCAAUAUGCUACCGUGGACCGUAUAUUAUUUAACUUUGGAUAAUUUUGAACCUCUGGUAAGUCAAACGAAAAUUUGUGAUCCCCGAGACUUUGACUGCAAGCCCAAUUGCAUCUAUGUGAUAAUUUCCUUGCACUGACCAAUUAUUGCGGUUCCCACAACAUUGCCAUCUUUGAACACUGCCAACUGAAUACUACCAUAUAAAUAUAUUUUCAGUCUGUGUACACACAUAAGAAAUCUCGUUACAUUCUGUCUCCACAAGCAAGGGUUCCCCAUGCUGUCUGCUUGAUAAGCAUUCUUUCAGCAAGAGUCACUGCAGACCACUACUGAUGCUUGUGCAUUUAUUUAUAUGUGAUAUGCGAAGUGAUGUGAAACGUUUAUUUUUGGCUCCUAGUAUAUAGUCUAUAAACUUUUGACUGUUAAGGCAUACAUAUGUUGUUGAGUUGUAAUUGCUGUAUUGUAUUGACAUUUAGUACAAUCGACUUCUAGAGAAGUUCUGUGAGUGCGAUAUGCAAAGUGAAACAUCUGCAAGUUUCAUUUCUGGCUGCAUCUGCUCUCUUUCCUCCAUUGUGUGUGUGUGUCUGUCAAUUUGAAAUAUGUAUAUUUUGCUAAUUCAAUAUACGAAGUGCUUCUGUAAAUGUAUUGAUAAUU
rnacentral:misc_RNA from 1 species